ensembl:snRNA U6 U6 spliceosomal RNA
UUGCCACUUUGGCUGCACAUAUACUAAAAAUUGAAACAAUACAGAAAACAUUAGCAUGGCCCCUGCACAAGAAUUACACACAAAUUCAUGGACAAAAUUCAAAUCCAU